UGCAGCUAGACGUGGCCAUGUAAGGGAGUCCUGUAUCAUACUACAAAUGGCUGCUCUUGCACCAACCGUCCUGUCCAGCAUAGGAAUAUCGUCAAUAAUACUGUAAUAAGUUUGUGUGGAGACCAACAAACCAAAAAGUUGGCAUUCUACAGCAUGGGGCUUCCUUGGAUCUAUCCUCAAGUGAUUACACCAGAUGUGUUGGAACUGCUGCACCUGCUAUCAUCCUUAAAAAUCACUAUUCUCACCCCCUUAAAUGUUGCUGCCAGUUUGUUUUGCGUUUUUCUGGUUUUGGCGACUACAAAACAACGAGCUAUGAUUAUUCUUGUGCAAGUUUUUCUGUGGAGAUAAGUUUUCCAUUCACUUGGGUAAAUACCAAAGAGCACAACUGUUGUAUUACACGAAACUUGGCAUUCUACAAAGUCUUGAACUGAAGGAAAGAAUUUUCCUGAUGAAACUUGCAUUGGCCUAACAGAACCAUGACCAAUGUGCAUGAUCAAAGCCCCCAGAGAGUUAACAAUAAUAAGGUAAAUGGGGACCUCAGAGGUACCGCUUAAGGGAGAUAAGUUCUGAGCAGGCUCUGAAGAUCUUAUUUUUUGGGAGCUUGCAGUUCCAAGGGGAAAUGAAUAUCUCUCUUCAUUUCAUUGUCCCUGGAGCCCUGAUCACUGGUGGAAAUAGUAUACUCCAUGAUUAUACCAAUCUUUAACAAUAUUUCUCAGAACAAGUUCAUAUGUUUAACAAGAAAUACCCCUGAGUGCUGUUUAAAUGCACUCAUAGUUCUCUUAUGAAGUCACUUGGCAAAGACUUGUUAUGCUCUGAUUAGCUUAUUAGUUCAUUCUGGAUCUGAUAAGAGAGUUUUGGGGCAUUGUCUGUCAACUUGCAAGAAAUUAGGACAGCAAAUGCCUUUGAAUUGUCUUUGCUUAUUUAACCAUGCCUCUGCAGAUGUUCACUAUUUUAAUAUGUCUUUUAUUUGGAAAGUGCACUAUUUGUUUAAUCAAUUAGAGAUGUACAAUGCCGAAUAAAUGAAGUUUAUAAGUAGAUUAAAAUGCUAAAGAGACAUACUUCCCCCUCAAAUGAGUGUCAACCUUGCAUAUCAACAUAUGGUUAAUUCUGAACGUCAAAAGAUCAUUUUCAGGCUCCCUUAGUUCAUGGAAUGAUAAUAAAAAAUUACACAGUAUGUAGUUUAUGAAGGCAACCCAUAAUGAUAGCUUUGCUUGUACUUAGGUUAUUUACAAAUGAGUAUAAGUUAAUUUUUCUGUAAGAAAGGAAAUAUGAGAGCUGCAGCUGCUGCUUUAUGGAUCAAAUUAUUUUAAAUAAUUCUGUGAACUCAUUAGUGGUAUUUUCAAGAAGUACAAUGCAAAACUCAACUCCUACUACUCUUGAUUUCCCCAACUUCUGUUUACUCCUGUUAUUUUAAUAUGGAUAAGUUAGGGAGGUGGAAAUGUGGUGCAACAGAAGAAAUUAUUAGACUUCUGAGUUGGAUACAGGGACGUAGCACUGGAUAGCUCCACGGGUUGCCAUUCUAUAGGCUCCAUGAAGGGCAUUCCUGGUGGUGUGCAGCGUUCAUCAUGGCUCACCAGAGAUUAAUGUUGGAAACUCGAUUAAACAGUGUUGGGCAAAGUUCUUGGCUCUUUGAACCUUCGUUUCCUUGUCUAUAAAAUGGAGAUUAUUUUACUUACCAGAUAUUGUUGUUUUGUCAGUUACAAAGGAAUUUACCUACUGGAUGUGAUUCUUUUGUGAAGAUGGGGUUUUCCAAGAGUUUAUUCCCAUAACAGCACUUAACAUAGUACCAACACAUGUGUAUGUGUGCUAAGUUGUUUCAGUCGUGUCUGACUCUAUGUGACCCUAUGGACUGUAGCCCUCCAGGCUCCAUGGGAUUCUCCAGGCAAGCACACUGGAGUGGGUUGCCAUGCCCUCCUCCAGGGGAUCUGCCCAACCCAGGGAUCGAACACACGUCUCUGACAUCUCCUGCACUGGCCGGGGGUUCUUUACCACUAGAGCCCCCUGGUGGGUGCUUAAUAACUUAGCUUUGCAAGUAGGUAGAUAAGACUGAAAUCCAACAAAUCGAUUUAAAAAGGGGGAAAAGAUGAUAUUCACUUAUGUGUAAAACUUAAAGGAAAAAUGAAAUCAGUCGGAAAGGCAGUCUAAGCAUUUAUGUGGCACCUGAGGUUUGGUCCUUACACUGAAUGCAGACCUUAGGAGGGCAAGUGACACAGAAUGGACAGAUGCAUAUUACCAGAAGUUUGAAAUCUUCACAUAUUUAAAACUCCUCCUGCUUGUGUUUCGUGACAAACAGGAAAACUGAUAGAGAGUCUGUGGUGCUUCCAUUUCAGGUUUAAAAUUCUUUUAGAAUAAUUCAUUUUACUAUUUCUAUUCCAACCCAUUUUUUCUAAGUGUUUUAGAAAAGACUUUAAUAAUUAGCAGUGCUACACUAAUAUGUGCAUGCACACACAAAUAUGUGCACACCCACAACCUACAGAUCUUGGAUACUUAACUUUAAAAUGUUAAUUUCUAUCAUAUAAAUUUUAGACUUUUACCACAAAAUAGAAAGCAGACAUUGCAAAUUGUUUUUCAGAAAAAGAUAUUACAACAGAGAAGGUAGAAGAAAGUUUGUAUAAUUCAAUAUAAUAAAAAUAAAAGUGUAAUGACAAUUACUAUAGCUAUCAAUCUUCAAUAAUUUGUGAGGAAUCCAGCUUUAAAUGCGAUGAAGCUUUAUAAGAUUUGUGAUUACAGAGUGUAAAAUAUAACAGAUGCUACAAUAUUUAGAUGCCUGCUGGCAUUUACCUUUUUCUCUGCACAGUUCAUUUCAACUAUAUGAAAAUUUUAUGUGCUAUAUAAAAGUAGAGAAAAAGAAAUUUAUUUGUAAAAUAACCACAGGAGAAUUGAUGGUGUUUCAGCAAUGUGGUAUUUGAUUCUGUUUGACCAGAUGAACUAUGUGAGAAAGUGGAGAAUUUGAUGAUACAGUAUUACUUUCAGUUUUCAUAUGGUGGAAGAUGCACAGGUCACAAAAUAACACUGGUGUUGAAUUCAAUUACUUUCUCUGUGGUGUUCAGAGCUGACUUUUUAGGAUGGGAGCCCUACUGUUCACUGGAGAAAUGGUUUUGCUUUGAGGAUUGCAAUGGAGAGUUGCUGGCAUUGGUGACUUCGGAGAAAUGGCCAAUGUUAUGUUUCAGAGGCAACAUGCUUGGGGUGCAACAUCUCAUUUUUUAAAACCACAUUAUACAGGGCAUUAAAUGUUAGUCUUCUUUAAAAAAUUCUUUUGCUGUCUUAUGUAUGUUCAUGUUGUAAACAUGAUUUUAAAUUCCAGAUAUCCUAAAAUAAACAAAACUCCAAAUUGCCUACCUUUGAAGAUUUGUUCCCUCUUUUAAAAGGUUUAAAAUUUCCCAUUACAUCAUAUAUUUUUUCAGAAAAACAUUUUCUUGAGAAAAUAAUGAAAACAUUUCUAGAUCUGCAAGCUAGAUACCUUGAAGUUAUUCUUGGACACCUUUAUCUCCAUCUUCCUUACAUCCCCAGAUCAUUAACUUCUAUCCGUUUUUAUCUUCUGUGCCUGUGUGCAUGCUCAGUUGCUCCGUCGUGUGUGGCUCUUUGCAACGCUAUGGACUGUAGCCCACCAGGCUCCUCUGUCCCUGGAAUUCUCGAGGCAAGAACACCAGAGUAGGUUGUUGUGCCCUCCUCCAGGGGAUCUGCCUGACACAGGAAUCGAACCCGUGUCUCCUGAGUCUCCUGCAUUGCAGGCAGGUUCUUUACCCACUGAGCCAUUAAAUGGAUAUCUUCUAAUAUCCAUUAAAUCUGUCUGCUUUGACAAAUGGAUAAGGAAGCUGUGGUACAUAUACACCAUGGAAUAUUACUCAGCUGUUAAAAAGAAUUCAUUUGAAUCAGUUCUAAUGAGAUGGA